UGUGGAUAUAGCUCAGAUGGCAGAGUGCUUGCCUCACAUGCACAAGUCCCUGGGUUCAAUCCCCAGCACCACAA
rnacentral:tRNA from 1 species